GACGAACGCUGGCGGCGUGCCUAAUACAUGCAAGUAGAACGCUGAAGAGAGGAGCUUGCUCUUCUUGGAUGAGUUGCGAACGGGUGAGUAGCGCGUAGGUAACCUGCCUUGUAGCGGGGGAUAACUAUUGGAAACGAUAGCUAAUACCGCAUAACAAUGGAUGACACAUGUCAUUUAUUUGAAUGGGGCAAUUGCUCCACUACAAGAUGGACCUGCGUUGUAUUAGCUAGUAGGUGAGGUAAUGGCUCACCUAGGCGACGAUACAUAGCCGACCUGAGAGGGUGAUCGGCCACACUGGGACUGAGACACGGCCCAGACUCCUACGGGAGGCAGCAGUAGGGAAUCUUCGGCAAUGGGGGCAACCCUGACCGAGCAACGCCGCGUGAGUGAAGAAGGGUUUCGGAUCGUAAAGCUCUGUUGUAAGUCAAGAACGGGUGUGAGAGUGGAAAGUUCACACUGUGACGGUAGCUGACCAGAAAGGGACGGCUAACUACGUG
rnacentral:rRNA from 1 species